GGACCUUCUGUUUUUGCGCUUAUUAAAUCAACUUGUUUCUAUUCUGGUUAUUAUUUUGGAUGGCCUAGAAUGUCUUUAACUCAAAUAUCUUUCACCCUACUUUGUUGUUUGUUGUCCCACUUUUUUCACCCUGCUUUUUUUUAGUAGUAUCAAAAAGAAAAAUAUGUUAAGUUUAGUUUACUAGAGACUAGUAGAGGAAGGGCUAAAACAGCUUGCAAUUAAAAUUAUAAAAAUGGAGAUGAAAACUAACCUCAUGAUGUUUUCAUUGUAAAGAGGAGAAAAGAGAAUUAUAAACUUUUAACAAAUUACUAAAUAAAAGUUUCCAUAAUAGACAGUAUCAAGGUUUUGGGUCAAUUCUUUACUAGUAUAAAGAACGCUAUGCCAUAUGUAUCCUGAUGAAGCUUCACUUGGACAAAUGACUUCAUGCCAAACCGGCUACCCUUUUUGAAUGUACUGUUUCCAAAAGAGGCGUCCUUUCCAAAGCAAUAGUGAUUCAUAGUAUAGUAUAGUAUAGUGUAUUCUGACAAUAAUUUCAGGUUACAACAACCUCUAGGGUCAGCUCAUAAUAAAUAAUUCAUCAAUGCUUAGCUAGCUAUAUCACGUUCUGGAGUGUACAGUAAUCUAUGUGCUGUUGUGCAUGCAAAUUAGUUUUAUGUAGGAAUCAAAACAAACACAACAAAUCGAUAUCUGUCACCGUGGCAUGAACUUCAGGGGGGUUCCUUGAAAAUUUUUAAGGCAAAGUAAUUAUCAUUUGUCUCAUCUUUUCUCUCAAUGGCAAUAGCUGGAGCAACAGCAAGCCUUUCUACCGGAGGUGCUUCUGAUAUUGAAACAUAACUUGCCCUUGCUUAUUUUCUGAUUCUAUAUAAACUUCUUCUUCAGUCUCUGGUUCAUCAUCACUAGCAGAGUCAGUGAAAUCAGAUUCUCCAUCACUAAAAUUUUAAUCAAGUAUAAGUUCAUGCCAUAUUUACAAGGAUACUCUUAAAGGUUACCUCCCACCUUAGAAAAACUUUUUUCUCAUAUCGUAGAUAAUGCUGACUUAUUAAGACUUCAAUAAUUAUUUUGCACAAUUCAUUAGUGCAACUUAGAAAUAUUGUAUUCUCUCUUACUAUUUUUACCAAAAGUGCUGCCUUUGACAGUAAUGGCAGCCUUCUUCUGCAAAACGGUCUAGCUCAGCAGAUACGAGAAAAAAUGUAAACAAAUGAUGUAGAGCUGGCUAUGAAGCAGACCGGUUUUGCGGGAUUAAACAACCCAUUUUUAAAAAAAUGUGUUUAUGCGCGCAAGCAGGUUCCUAUUUUUGUUCAAUAAAAAAUUAAUUCGAAAGUAAACAAAUUACAAAAUUUUAUUGCAAUAGUUAAAAUUUUAAGAAUGGAUCCGUCUUUCUCUGCCGUAGGCUGUCAAAACCACAGAAAAAGAAAUCCGGAGUUAUCAUUUUUCCAAAUCCUGUGUGAUAAAUCUACUGCUGCUACUUCAAUAGCAAACAUGAAAAGAACUGAUCUUUCAAAAACUAUUUAUUUAUGCGAGGAGCACUUCCAAAGCAACUGCUUUGAUAAGUCUAUCGAUUUAAGAAUUCAAAUAAUGCAAUGUAAUCAUAGCAUACAACGUUUUUUCUUUGUGUUAGUCCAGUUGUUUUCAUUAUUGGAAGGACUGGUAAGAAGGUUGUGAUACUGAACACAUUGUAUAUUGCGAAUGUAUGAAUUAGUCGUUUGUAUUGCAGGUUUCAGAAAAGCACCCCGUAAGUUGGUCUUGAUGGCUGUUCCAACAAUAUUUGUACACAAACCUGAACAUAGAAAAAGAGUUAGCGUCGUUCAGAAGUUACUAAAAAAGAUGGUGAAAGAAUGGGGAAUUUCUGUGCACAUAUUUCUGGCUGCUUUUUCUUCGGUUUUUUGUUUUAUUUUUUAUGCAAAGUACAUUAGGUUAUUAUGGCUGCAAUAGCGACAUCGGAAGCAGAGGUUUUAAAUUCUGAACCAAACCAUGGAGAACAGAAUUUACUUCUGAAUGCCGACGAUAAAAGACUAAUAAAAGACAUCGUUAAAUAAAACGAAAAUAUUUUUACAACCUACUUAGAAGUGUUUCGUUCACUAAAAAUUCAUUAUUUGCCAAGGGAAUUUUUUACAAACAAGAAAAGAUGAUAUGGGGCGUCCAAUCAGCUGCUUUAGAUCAUAACCAUAACAUUGAUAGACCACAGGUCAAUAUAAAAAUGUCACUUUUGAAGUCCACUACUUCAGAAUGUAGAGUGUAUGUUGGAAAUUUACCGCAAUUUGUUCGUAACCGAGAUUUGGAAGAUAUUUUUGACAGAUAUGGUACUAUAAGGGGAAUUAAUAUUCAUAACAGAUUUGAUCCAGCUUUUGCAUUUAUUGAAUUUGAAGAUCCACGAGAUGCAGAAGAUGCAGUACAUGAUAAGGAUGGAACAAAGUUUGAUGGUCAGGCUAUAAAAGUUCAAUUUCCAAGAGGCAACUCUUCUAGCUACGAUGAUAGAAAUUCUGGAAGCAGUCGAGGAAGACCUGGUGGUUAUACAAGAGGAAGGGGCAGAGGUCAGCCUAUACGUCGAUCUGAAAAUAGAGUAUUGGUGUCGGGUCUACCAGCCACCGGUAGUUGGCAAGAUUUGAAAGAUCAUAUGCGAGAAGCAGGAGAGGUUGUUUAUGCAGACGUGUAUAAAGAUGGGACCGCUGUUUGUGAAUUUUCUUCCCAUAGCGAUAUGAAAUGGGCUGUAAAAUAUUUAGAUGACAGUAAAUUCAAGUCACACGAGCUGGAUACAAUACACUAGGGAAACAGAUGCAACUAAGGAAACAUGUUGCUAAGGAACAGAUGCAACUAAGGAAACAUGUUGCUAAGGAACAGAUGCAACUAAUAAACAUGUUGCUAAGCAAACAGAUGCAACUAAGGAAACGUUGCUAAGGAACAGAUGCAACUAAGAACACACUUAGGGAAACAGAUGUUGUUACUGACAACGGAUGUUUUAAGGAAACAGGAACUGACAAAUUCGGAAUGAGACAUCAUAUAUAAGAGUGAAAAGAGAUUCAUCCAGAUCGAGGUCACGAAGUAGAUCUCCGCGAAGAAGAUCUAGAAGUCGCAGUCGAUCAAGAUAAGCUUGAACUUUUUACUGACCACUUCCAUACAUAACUUUAUCAUACAUUCAGCUCAUCGCUUGUAAUAUUUUUAAUUAUGUGUUUUUAUGUAUCUAUUAUCUCUGUAUAACACAUGUAAUCAAAUAA